UCCCCUUGGUGAUGGGGAAAGAGACACCUUGUUGGUUAUGGUGUUCUUAUACCAGUCAGGUGCAGAGUAGAUGGCACGCCUUUGUUUACCCUAGUUUGAUGCCUAGCUUGGUGGUCAGAGCUGUUUUAUGCCUAAGAGCCAUAA